CCCCAGCUACCUAUUCUGCCCCACAACCCCAGCUACCUAUUCUGCCCCACAACCCCAGCUACCUAUUCUGCCCCACAACCCCAGCUACCUAUUCUGCCCCACAACCCCAGCUACCUGUUCUGCCCCACAACCCCAGCUACCUGUUUUGCCCCACAACCCCAGCUACCUGUUUUGCCCCACAACCCCAGCUACCUGUUUUGCCCCACAACCCCAGCUACCUGUUUUGCCCCACAACCCCAGCUACCUGUUUUGCCCCACAAACCCCAGACAUCUAUUCUGCCCCACAAACCCAGCCAUCUAUUCUGCCCCACAAACCCAGCCAUCUAUUCUGCCCCACAAACCCAGCUACCUAUUCUGCCCCACAACCCCAGCUACCUAUUCUGCUCCACAACCCCAGUUACCUGCUACCUAUUCUGCCCCACAAACCCAGCUACCUAUUCUGCUCCACAACCCCAGCCACCUGCUAAACUAUAGUACCUGUAGCUAUUCUACCAACUACUCUGCUACAGUAACUACAAACAGGAGGAUCUGUUUCUGUUAGCUUUGGAAGAGACUGGAGACAUGGAGAUGUAGGAAAGAGAUCUUCACAACAACGGAGCCUGUUUCUGUCCGUAUUGUUAGAUUUAACCUGUAGCCUGUAUGAGAGGACGGUUCAAGUCUGAAUGAUCAGAACAGGCACUGCUGUUGUCUGUUUCUCUGCUGCCUCUCCCUCACUCCCUCAUUCCCUCCUCUUCUCUCCCUCAUUCCCUCCUCUUCUCUUCCUCACUCCCUCCUCUUCUCUCCCCUCACUCCCUCCUCUUCUCUCCCCUCACUCCCUCCUCUUCUCUCCCCUCACUCCCUCCUCUUCUCUCCCCUCACUCCCUCCCUCCUCUUCUCUCCCCUCACUCCCUCCCUCCUCUUCUCUCCCCUCACUCCCUCCCUCCUCUUCUCUCCCCUCACUCACUCACUCCCUCCAAUUCUCUCCCCUCACUCACUCACUCCCUCCAAUUCUCUCCCCUCACUCACUCCCUCCUCUUCUCUCUCUCAUCCUCAGACUACUCAGUACGCUACAGAGAUUACAUAGACUAACUCUUCUUCUCUGAUGCCUUGUGUGACUUUUAAGAAUGUACUUAAAAGCAGCCAUUUUCUUUUCGGUUAGCGUGUGUUUCUGAGGGAAUGGUUUUCAUGUUUUCGGUUAGCGUGUGUUUCUGAGGGAAUGGUUUUCAUGUUUUCGGUUAGCGUGUGUUUCUGAGGGAAUGGUUUUCAAUGCUUUCGGUUAGCGUGUGUUUCUGAGGGAAUGGUUUUCAAUGCUUUCAGUUAGCAUGUGUUUCUGAGGGAAUGGUUUUCAAUGUUUUCAGUUAGCCUGUGUUUCUGAGGGAAUGGUUAAAAAAACAGACUUCAGAUUCAAAUGUAACGACUCCAUUUCUAGCAUGGUUCAUGUGCACAAACACUUUUUUUUUUUUUUUUUUUAGAUCAGCUGCAGCGAUAUAACCUCUUCUGAAAGCUCUUGAGACUAAACUGUAUUUGGAAGUAGAUCCACAGUUUCAGAAUUCAUCUUUAUAUUGAUUGAUACAAUAUUAUGUCAGCAGCUCAACCCAUGUUUCCUUAUUCCAGAAGUGAUCGGGGGAAAUGGUUCUGUCUUUAUCAUGCGUUUAGUCUAUUUAAGAUGUUUUGUAUGUCAGAUUUGGAAUGAAAGUUUAAGAUAUGGAGUGAAUCCCGAAUGGCACCAUACUCCCUUUAUUAGUGCACUACUAUAUAGCCCUGUAGGGUUCUGGUGAAAAGUAGUGCACUAUAUAGGGAAUAGGGUGCCAUUUUGGGAUGCAUACAUUAAUAUAUGUCACAGUUGUAUCCUCGCAACAUUGUAAUUAAAUACGUGAAGCAUCAGCCAACCACCCAUCUGUUUGUUAUUGAAGGUCUAGCUAGCUAUACUCAACCAACCACCCAUCUGUUUAUUGAAGGUCUAGCUAGCUAUACUCAACCAACCACCCAUCUGUUAUUGAAGGUAUAUAGCUAGCUAUACUCAACCAACCGCCCAUCUGUUUGUUAUUGAAGGUCUAGCUAGUGUCGUGUCUUUGGCUAUGCCGGAUUAAGUGAUAUGACAUGCUAACUUAUAAAAUGAUUUCUCUGUAAUUAAUAUUACCUGAUUAAGCUAAUCAUGUAAAUGUAAUUAACUAGAAAGUCGGGGCACCACGGAAGAACGUUUAUAGAGCUGUUAUCUUCCGAAUAAACUCUUAAAAUACUUAGUAAUAUUUUACCUCGAUAGCAGUCAAUAUUAACCCUUGUCUUAUUUUCAGUCUCAUAAUGAAAGUUGUAAGUUCUUGGCUAUCUUCACGAACCCUGGCUAACAAGUUGAAUCAGCAAUACAAAAUUGGGUUUAAUUAUUUAUUUACUAAAUACCUAACUAAUCACACAGAAUUACAAAUACACAGAAUACAAUGUCGUCAUACAGAAAACGUCCCGGUAGACGGAACAGAUAUGACGGCUGGUUACACAAAGGAAAGGGGUUGGG
rnacentral:lncRNA from 1 species